rnacentral:rRNA from 1 species
GACGAACGCUGGCGGCGUGCUUAAUACAUGCAAGUCGAACGAUGAAGUCCUAGCUUGCUAGGAUGGAUUAGUGGCGCACGGGUGAGUAAUAUAUAGUUAAUCUGCCUUGCACUGAGGAACAACAGUUGGAAACGAUUGCUAAUACCUCAUACUCCAACUUUACAUAAGUUAAGUUGGGAAAGUCUUUUCGGUGCAAGAUGAGACUAUAUCGUAUCAGCUAGUUGGUAAGGUAAUGGCUUACCAAGGCUAUGACGCGUAACUGGUCUGAGAGGAUGAUCAGUCACAUUGGAACUGAGACACGGUCCAAACUCCUACGGGAGGCAGCAGUAAGGAAUAUUGUGCAAUGGGGGAAACCCUGACGCAGCAACGCCGCGUGGAGGAUGACACUUUUCGGAGCGUAAACUCCUUUUGUUAGGGAAGAAUAAUGACGGUACCUAACGAAUAAGCACCGGCUAACUCCGUG